rnacentral:lncRNA from 1 species
AAAAAAAAAAAAAAAAAACAACAAAGAAAGGCCCCAGGCUAUGGCAGGGUGGACCCAAGACUGUUACUUGCUGUAUGUGGACACCUAAAGGCCCCCAGAACCAUCCAUCCUCAUCAUAGAAACUGGACGUUCUGAUCUUACACGAUUGUUUCAGCCCCCUCCCCACACAUGCCGACUGCCCUCAGUGUCUGCUUCCUUAAGCCUGCUUCCAUUUUAGCUAUUAGCGAGGGUUUUGCAUCUCGUUGCCUGCCAGCAUAUUAUGUGCAUCUCAUUAACUCUGAAGGCUCCACUACCCUUUAGGGACCAGACCUUCACAGACGUAAUGGCCUUCUGCCUGAGGUUUGAGUUUGCUGUUACUCUUUCUACCUUGGCUGAGGAAUGUCAGCCCAUGGAUUUCUAAUAAGUUCACAAAUUGCUCUAUGAAAUUGAGGUGAGAAAAAUGUCACAUUCUUUUUUUUUUUAAUUUUUAAAAAUCAAAUCUGGCUUGGAGCCCCCACUUAACCAUUCUCAGCAGAAGUCCGACUCCAGUCAUUGUGAUUUACUCACAGGCAGGGGAUGGGGGUUUUGGUGAGAGGCUUCCCCUCCUUCAGGUUGCACCAACACCCUGCUGCUGAAGCAGGUCAGGAGAGCGGGGUGAGCACUACGUCAUCAGGGCAUCCUGAUCACUCUUUCCCCGGGCUCCUUCUGCGACACAGUGAAGACUCUAAACACUGUCUGGUGCUGUCGUCAGGCCCUGCCCUCCACAGGCAGAGUCUUUUCUAGUGUGCCCAGGCUUUGUUCCGGGGACCUCCAGGCCUCAGUGUCCAUCCACCACAGGCAUCCCUCACAGUUGCCUGACACGAGGUCCUGCCCUCUGUGGGCACUGUGAGCUGGAUGUCGUGGAGCUACCGUGCAUGCUACAGCCCUUGUCUCUUCUCAGCUUUGGGGGACCCAACACUCCAGGUUGGGCAGUUCUCUCCUCUUUCCUCCUGACCCCAGAGUCUCUUUCCUUUCUGCCACUGGGAGAGCAAACCCUCCUUCCCUGGGCCUAGACCUUUCAAAACAAUAGGCUGCUGGAGGGAUUAUCUGAGUGAAGAUAAGUUUUCUCUCUCUCCUCCCCUCCCUUCUUCUCCCCUUUCUUUUCUUUUGCCCUGAAACAAGAAGCUUGUUAACCAGACUUCUGAGGAUAAAGAGAGCCUGGACUCAAGAGCAAUCCCCAGGUAACCCUAUAGGGUGGCAGUGGGAAUCUUUUAUCCUAAUUUUGGGUGGGGGGUUGGCAUCAAUUACUUUCUCAAUAACACCUGUUGUGGAUUCAUAGAAAUGGAUAGAACCUGAGAGAGCUUCCGUCCCAACCAUCUCAUUUUUCAAAGGAGCCAGAGGAGCAAAGGGAGGAGGCCCAAGAGGAGAGUGGGGAUGCCUAGUUCAUGUCUGAGCCAGGACCAGCAUCCAGGUCUCGACUGCCACUCCCAGGAUCCUGCAUUUGGGAGCCCCCAGGUGAAUCAUGCUGUUAGACUGCCAAGUGGAGGGAUAGAGGCAAGGUCCUGCCUUCAAAGACAUGAAUGUCGCAUGGAAAGAACAGGGCAACACACACGAAUCCACUAUGGAGUAUCGUAAGCCAGUGUACCACUGAAGGCUCACGGAGCAUUUCUGAGGAACUCAGUAAAACGAAUAAUGAUUGUAGACUAUCGUUAGUCAAAUACAACUUAACUGGGAAAAUGGAACUGGACCAUGGUCUUGAAAAACAAGUGGAGCUAGAGAAUCAAUGUGAGGGCUGAGAUGAAGGUAUGCAGUUUGUCAACCUCCACAGUAUAAAAAAAAAGUAAGCAAAGAAAGUGAAGCAAAAGAAAACUCAGGAGUAUGAGGAGGAUCAGCACAGUGCAGUCAUGAAAACUAGCCAAGGCAAACCUGCCUAGCAGGAGGCCUGGCACAUUUUGGAUGUUCUUGACUUCUUUUUUCUUACCUUGCUGGCAGUCAGCAGAUACAUGGGAUCUUUGAACCCUCUAGAAUUACAUGCAUACAGCAUGGGUGAUUUGGGGUGAUGGUGUAUAAGUGCAUUAUAUGAAAUCAGGUCUGAGGUUUUCAUUAGGUUCUCAAUAUAUCUUGCUCUCCCUCUUCCAGGAAUAUAGUAGGAUUGCAUUUCUGAGCCUGUAUUAGUCCGUUUUUACACAGCUGAUAAAGACAUACCCAAGACUGAGUAGUUUAUAAGGAAAAAGGGGUUUAAUGGACUCACAGUUCCGCAUGGCUUGGGAGACCUCACAAUCAUGGUGGAAGGCAAAAGGCUUGUCUUAGAUGGCAGCAGAGCUCAGUGCCCCCUCUGUCACAAUGGCCAGCAAUGUUCCAGAUAGUGACCACUCACUCAGCUAGGGUUCCAGAGGGAGGAAGAUGCAGAGCAGAGCCCCAGCUGACCUGCAGUGGACAUAUGAGGGGGAAAUUUGGAGACAGACACAUACACAGGGAGAUGCCGUGUGAAGACUUGAGUUCUGCUGCCACAAGCCUAGGAACCAUUAGAAGCCAGGGAAGAGGCCUGGAACAGCUCCUUCCCCAGCACCUUCAGAGGGAGCAAGCCUCUACCAACAACCUGAUUUUGAACUCCUCGCCUCCAGAACUGUGAGACAAUAUAUUUCUGUUGUUUUAAGCCACCCAGCAUGUGGUACUUGGUUACAGCAGCCCUGGCAAACAAAUACAGGUUUGUAGGACUGUAUCUUUAGAGAUGAAAAGGAGAACCUCAAGCGGAAGGAAGAGCAUGAGCUUACUGGGGUAAGAAUAUGUAUUUAUAUAUUGAGUGCAUUCAGCAGUUCGGUUCUACUGGAACCACGGUCUGUAAAGGAGCCAUGUAUGGGAAGGUUAUUGUGGCCAAGUAACAGAGGCUUUGAAUGCUGGAAAAGACAUCUAAAUUUUGGAGCCAGGCACGGUGGCUCACGCAUGUAAUCCCAGCACUUUGAGAGACCGAAGCAGGUAGAUCACGAGGUCAAGAGAUAGAGAGUAUCCUGGCCAACAUGGUGAAACCCCUUCUCUACUAAGAAUACAAAAACUAGCUGGGCGUGGUGGCAUGCACCUGUAGUCCCAGCUACUUGGGAGGCUGAGGCAGGAGAAUCGCUUGAGCCUGGGAGGUGGAGGUUGCAGUGAGCCGAGAUUGCAGCACUGCACUCCAGCCUGGUGACAGAGCAAGACUCCAUCUAAAAAAAAAAAAAGACAUCUACAUUUUUAUCUGGCAGAGUUUGCUUCUUUUGUGUUAAUAUUUACUUCUAUCUAUCUUGGCCUAAAAUGAUUUGAGGUGGCUGACCUUAGCAUGUAGAUCAUGGGGAACCAGGUUGUGUGCCAGGAAGUGACUUGAUCGGCACCUGCACAGGAAGAUGAUCUCGGAUGCAACUCCUUGGAGAAACAGAGUCAAGCAGCAGCCCAGGUGAGAAGCUUGGCCAUCAUCUGAAAACUAUGCAAAGCAGGUCUGAACUAGGAAAAGGGCAGAAGGUCAGAGAAGAGGGGAUAAAGACAAGAGGUGAAAUGAUAGGUUGACCUGGCAAAUGCUUGCAUGACACAGGAAGAGAGAGAAAGGAAUUGAAUGGAACGUGGUCAACAUUUGAGCCUGGUGACUGUGAGGACAGUGGUGCCAUUUGCAGAUUUAGGAGGAAGCAUCACGUUGGGGAGGUGGAGGAGUUGGUUUUGUGCACAUUGACUCUGAGGUGGUGGAGGGGUCCAGCAGGCAGUUGGACUUAUGAGAAAAUGCACCAUUAUUCAUCCAAACAAGAUAAUUGAAUUUUUGAAGGCAGCUAAAAAAUAAUGGUUCUACGCUACAAGAAAUGAAGUGAAAUGGUAAAACAACAACAACGACAAAAAAACAUACACACACACACACAAAAAGCAAAAAACAAAAUAACCCACCCAAUUAAUCCAUUUGGAGGUUGUUCUCAUCUAGUGAAAUGUGUGUGUGUGUGUGUGGGUGUGUGUGCACUUCAGUACUGUUAACAAAGAAAAGGUCUGGUCAGUGGCAAAAACUACUUGAAUGCUGCUUUCAGCAAAGUCAUCCCUCUCUUCAGAAGGAUGAAGUACUCUUGUUUGUCAAGGAAGGUCCCUCUCAACUAGAAAAACAGCUGCAGGAACUCCAACCCAAGGUCCCCACAGCCCACAGGGGUGAUCUCUUGCUUUGCUCUCCUGGCUGUCUCAGGAAGCAGAAGUGGAAACAUUUGAGAUGACAGCAGCUCUGCUUUCUUUGUAGAGUUAAUUAGCUGGUGAAUACUGAGCUCUCCGACAGAGAGGAAGCUCGGGUUAUCAAAGUAUUAUUAAUUGAUGCAUCUGGAGAAAGAGAGAAGCAGCCCCAUCUGGACAGAGCUUGGAUUCUUUUAGCGCCAGAAUGGAAGAAAGCCCUUUUUAAAGUACAGUAAGAAAAGCCUGGUUCAGCUAAACAGUGAGGGGUAGUAGAAUCUAACUCGCACUCAACCCUACUUAACACCUUCCAUUCUUAAGUAUUUAUUAAGCCCGGUACAAGUGACAAAUACCACAUGUGAUCUGUUGUCACCAAAACUCAUUAAGACAAAUAAUAUUGAAUAAGAUCACACAGGAUGGCUUGCCAUCAGAACUACUUACUACUUCAGGCCGGGUGCCAUGGCUCAUGCCUGUAAUCCCAGCACUUUUGGUAGCUGAGGCAGGUGGGU